AUAGCCAAGCAAUUCUGGAUUUUGGCGAGGAUCCAGUUAAAAAUUUAGAUGCUAAGUUAGAGAUAUUGAAGUUUUCGUAUGAUUGGGCAACAGAAGUUGAAGAAAACGAAAGAAGAAUGAAGGAUGUUCAAGCAAGAAAUGAAAAGGAAGAAGAUGUUACAGAGAAAGAGAUUCGUGAAACAAUUCCAAUGGAUAAGGCAAAAGUGAAGAUGCCAGAGAAACCCCAGGAAGUUACACUUAAGGACAAGGCAAAUGAGACGUCGGUAAAACUUCAGAAUCUGCUGUCAGGGGAGGAGGUGCAGGAGA